UUCAGCACAAAUUGCUCCUAGCAGAUCUGGUCUGAGUUCAGAAUCUAAGCAGGGUCAGGCUUAGCUAUACUCAGAUGGGAGACUACCAGAGAAUACCAGGUGCCUAAAC
rnacentral:rRNA from 1 species